UUGAACACACUCGCAAAAUGUUCUGGCAAUUUUCUUUACUUCCUAAUUCACAGAAGGACUCCAACCCACGAUUUGAACAAUACUCUUUUAAAUGUUUCCAGCGUACAUUUGGGACUCAGGAAAACAUUUCUCAGAUUUAUCAGCAGGAUAAAAAGGACUAUUUUCCUCUUUUUCAGUUCUCUGCCUGUUCUGCAUUCAGUUUUUGCUGGAGGUUUACUGCUUCUGGUAUCUUUUCCUAGAAAAAAAAGAUAAUCUCCAUUUCACUUUGCUAGAUUAUGAUGACCUGACCCUUUUGUUUCUAUUGUUGCCAGCUUCAAAUAACAAGGACAGCAAGGACAAUAGCAGCCUCCACCAUUUAUGGAGCCCUUACUCCAUGGCAGGCUGAGAACUUGACCUACAUUAUCUCAUUUAAUCCUCACAGGGAAGACAUGACCUUUAAGGUGGGUACUAGUUGCACAUUCCAAAUCCAAAAAUUCAAAAUCAAAAAUUCUCUGAAAUCUGAAAUUGUUUGAGAGCCACAUGGUGGAUUUUGAAUCUUCAGACUUGGGAUGCUCAACCAGUAAAGUCUAUGGAAAUAUUCCAAACCUGAAAAUGCAUUAUCAUACGUCCUAGAUUCUAACACACAUAAUUUUUACACUCUUUAUACCUGUGAUAUGAGAAUACGCUUAGUCAUCCCAUUUGGUUAUUUUUUUCACAUUAGAAAACCUCUGUAAUAGGUCUUAAGGUAGAUGUAGUCUCAGAAUCUAUGAAAUAAUGGUAUUUUCAUUAUUUUACAGAAUUUUCAAAAAAUGGAGUUCAGUGAAAUUAGAAUUAAUAUCCACUUCUGUCCAAACCCAAAACUUUUAAGCCCCAUAUGCUAUCUCCACAAGUUCCAGUUUACCUAACAUUUAUGUUUUUUGCUAAGUUUAAAUUUUCCCUAAGCUAUUACUCAGUUUUCCUGAAUCUUUGGCCUUUAUCAUCAUACAUAAUAUGCCCAGCGAGAGGCUCAACCUAGACCCUGGUUCAGGGGCUACAGGCGUAAUCCAAGAAAAUUAAUAAGACUCUUUGUGACAUGAUAUAGAAGGAGGCCCAGGUUGUGGGAGCAGAUGGGCCUGCUCUUGUUCACACCUGCCCAGAGGAAGGAACUCCUAGUUUUUCUAGUUUGCAUUAAGGUUGCUGUGGACAUGCAGCAUCUCUGGUAGGAUUCAGUGUCCAUAUGGGUUUCAGAUAUCGCUUUUUUAUCAUUUGGAGAACAGCAGUGAAGGUGUGUCUUCAGGUUCCUUACGGUUCCAACUGGAUGGGUUCACAGAUGCUUCAGAAAAUGCAAAAGAAUUCAAAGUGUGAACUUAGAUGAGGUUUAGUAAAAUUAGAUGUAACCAAGUAUUUAUGCUUAAGUACCGUAACCGGCACAAAUAAAGUCUAGAGAAAGCCUGAUUAAGGGUAGGCAUAGAUGUCAUCAGAGACCAAGAGAUAAAAGUGUAUUACUAUAAAGUAAAAAAAAAAAAAAAUUAAAUAAUAAUAAUAUCUCAAAAGUAAGAAAUGCGCAAGCCAAACUUCUCCCUUCUGUGCCCAGCAAUUCCAGGCACACACUGCACGCGUUUCCUAGGUAACUCCUGCUCUCCACAAGAAGAGAGAUGAUUCGGUGGAAAGCAGCUAAAGUGAUGAUUAAGAUGUUACAAGUAGAUUUUUGCUUCAUUAAGUGAUUCACCACCGAUUUAUUUUAAAUAUAAACCCAGUUUGUGUAUUAGAGUAUUUAGUUUGAUGUUUAAAUUACAUUUAUUAAAAAUUUUCAAUUAAUUUGCAUCCAGUUUGCAUAGGCCAGGAUGUUUGCCUAUAAGCAUAAAAAGUAAUUUAUUGCCUCAUGUAACUGAGAAGUCUAAGGAGUAAAACAGGCUUUGAAUACGUUCUCUCUCCUUCUCCUCUCCUUUUCUCUCUCCAUAUCUUAGUUCUGCUUAACUAAGCUGUCUGAUGGCCUCUCCCCAUUAAGUAGCAAGGUACCCCUGGAGGCUCCAGUGUACAUGGUCUGUAGAAUAGUUCUAAGAAAUGAUCUUUCCCAACAACAUUGGUCAAAGUCUCUGCAGGGAGGAACCAUCUACCUGGCUUCUGUUGUGGGCCCUCUCUGAACAUCCUCCCUGCCUCUGGGUGCUCGGAGCAUUCUGAUUGACUGGCCUAGGUCGUGUGCCACUCCUCUGGUGAGCGCCUAGCCCAUCGGCACUAUUACAGACACUGAGCAGGGUUACUAAGGAAUGAAAGAGCCAUCCUUCUUCAAAGGAAGAAAUGCUGGGCAUACAAAAAUCAUGUUCACUAUAAAUGUAACAGAAAUCGGUGGCCUGGAACAAGAGACAUCUGUAAAAGAAUGGAUAAUUCCUAUUAGGAAAGGUAACAGACUUAUUUGUCCAGGAAAAAAAAAAACAAGAAGACUAUGAAUAGGAAAAAUUUAAAACUUGUUUUAAGUGCAGGUGCUUCUGCUAUAAUGUAUACAAAUA